UACAGAGGUCUCAAGCGUUGUUCGGAUUCAUUGGGCGUAAAGGGUGCGUAGGCGGCGCGGUAAGUCGGGUGUGAAAUCUCGGAGCUUAACUCCGAAACUGCAUUCGAUACUGCUGUGCUUGAGGACUGGAGAGGAGACUGGAAUUUACGGUGUAGCGGUGAAAUGUGCAGAUAUCAGGAGGAACACCGGUGGCGAAGGCGGAUCUCUGGGCCUUACCUGACGCUCAGGUGCGAAAGCUAGGGGAGCGAACAGG
rnacentral:rRNA from 1 species